rnacentral:rRNA from 1 species
GACGAACGCUGGCGGCGUGCUUAACACAUGCAAGUCGAACGGAAAGGCCCUGCUUUUGUGGGGUGCUCGAGUGGCGAACGGGUGAGUAACACGUGAGUAACCUGCCCUUGACUUUGGGAUAACUUCAGGAAACUGGGGCUAAUACCGGAUAGGAGCUCCUGCUGCAUGGUGGGGGUUGGAAAGUUUCGGCGGUUGGGGAUGGACUGGCGGCUUAUCAGCUUGUUGGUGGGGUAGUGGCUUACCAAGGCUUUGACGGGUAGCCGGCCGGAGAGGGUGACCGGCCACAUUGGGACUGAGAUACGGCCCAGACUCCUACGGGAGGCAGCAGUGGGGAAUAUUGCACAAUGGGCGGAAGCCUGAUGCAGCAACGCCGCGUGCGGGAUGACGGCCUUCGGGUUGUAAACCGCUUUCGCCUGUGACGAAGCGUGAGUGACGGUAAUGGGUAAAGAAGCACCGGCUAACUACGUG